UUUUUUUUUUUUUUUUUUUUUUUUUUUCUCUCUUCAAACUAGGGUCUUAAGUUAUUGAGAUAAAAAUCU
rnacentral:ribozyme from 15 species